CACGCUGGGAAGCUGGACUUCUAACGCAUUAAAGACCUGAGGUUUUUCAGCAGCCCUGACUUCAUGCUGUGCUGUGAGCCUUGAUGCAGUCCUGCACGCUGAUGGAGGUGAAAAUCAUUCUUCUGAAUGCUUGGGCCCUCAGAUUGUGGUGACCUCGACUUCUCUAACAUCCCAGACAUACCACACUGAGACUCCAGAAGAGUAAUUACUAACACCACAGUCCAGGUUGCAUCCUCUCUGACUGCCUUCUGCCACAUUUCCAUCUUUGCCAAGAACUUCUGAAAAUUCCAGGCACGUGGCGAUCAAGUAAAUCUGCAGAUGACACAAAAGUGGGGGACGCUCCAGUACCAUGGAGACAUGGAGUCAUUGGAGACAGACCAACUUAGGGCCAUGAAGAUGAUGAAGGGUCUGGAACACCCCUCCUCUGAGGAAAGGCUGGAACACGAGGAGGAAGGGGCCCCAGGAGGAUCUCAUCAAUAUCUACAGAUACCUGAAGGGAGGCGACAAAGAAGAUGAAGCCAGACUCAUUUCAGUGGUGCUCAGUGCCAGGAAAAGAGGCAAAAGUGCAAUCAGCGGAGGAGGCGAUGUUAAAGUUUACGCUGUGUUAAGGCUGAAGCGAUUGCAAGGCUCAGAGCUGGUAAAAACCUUGCAUGUUGAGACCUCAUGGGCACCCUUGGUUGAGUGCCAAGAAGAGGGAUGGGAGAUGAACAGAUGAUGCUCUCUAACUGGGAGAUGCCCUUUUGUCUGUGAGUAAACUUGCUUUCCUUCUCAGGUCAGAAAGUGACUUACGUUCCAGGAUGUGUCUCAGCAACUGGGCACUGCCAGAUUUGUGGUUUAACACCAUGCUCUUAAAAGUCCGGGUAUGUUGUCUUCAGAGCUUGUCUGUAAUCAGAAUAUUGCUGAUUUUAUUCCUUCAUUUGAAGUUACUAAAAAGCUAGUCGCUCUAGGAGAUAAGAAAGUUAGAAAGAAAAGACGUGAAUGGGCAAUCCAGGGAAAAUAAUCAGCAAUGACAGAGCUUCAGGAAACAGGAACUCCCCUGGGAAAAUGCCUUUUCAAUCACAUGCAUCUUUU
ensembl:lncRNA